rnacentral:lncRNA from 1 species
CCUGCAGGUGCAGAUCUGGGAGAACCGUGUGCAGAGCUGUGAGGAGCUGGAGGAGCUGCUUCAGGGCCACAGGAGGCCCCUGGGCUCGUCCAUCGUCAUCUGUGAAGGACAGAAAUUCCUCCUGCGGGCCGAAGAUGUGGAGAUGGCCAACCAGGCCGGGGAGCUGGACGUCAGGAUGGACUCGUCCACCGAGCUCUGGUCCCCGGAGGGCAGGGACCAAGCCGGGGCGGAGCAGCCGUGGGGCCAGGGCGAAGCUGUGCUGCCCGAGGCGGCUUCCAAGGAAGGACACCCAGAGGUUCUGCAAAAGCCCCUGGAGCGGGAGCUGGGGCACAGGGGAGGACGUGUCGGCGUUGGAGGCCUGGGAGCCUCUGCUCCUGCCGGGCCCUGGUGCCGAGGGGACCCAGCACCACCACGCCUCUCCUGAGGCCGAGAAUGAGGCUGCCGAGCGUGUACCUGGAGGAGAACCCCUGAGUCCCAGACGCCCCCGGAAAAGGAGCCCAGACCAGGCCCUGUCCCUGGGAGGUCCCCAGGCAGGGGCCGAGUCCCCUGAGGAGCAAGGCGGGGUGAACUCGGCAGAGACCCUGCGCUCCCCUGGCGCGGCAGCCAGGCCCGCCCCGCACUGCUGCAGCACGUGCAGCAAGACGUACCUGUACCGGUCGCAGCUGGUCAUCCACGAGCGUCGCACACGGGCGAGCGGCCCUUCCGCUGCGACCAGUGCAACAAGGGCUUCAUGCAGCCGUCCGACCUGCGCGUGCACCUGCGCAUCCACACAGGCGAGCGGCCCUUCCACUG